UGCCAGCAGCCGCGGUAAGACGAACCGUCCAAACGUUGUUCGGAAUCACUGGGCAUAAAGCGCGCGUAGACUGCCCUGUAAGUGUGAAGUGAAAGCCCACGGCUCAACCGUGGAAUUGCUUUGCAUACUGCAGGGCUAGAGGACGGUAGGGGAGAGCGGAACUCCUGGUGGAGCGGUGAAAUGCGUAGAUAUCAGGAGGAACACCGGUGGCGAAGGCGGCUCUCUGGAACGUUUCUGACGCUGAGGUGCGAAAGCCAGGGUAGCAAACAGGAUUAGAUA
rnacentral:rRNA from 1 species